rnacentral:tRNA from 1 species
GGGGAUGGAGCUCAGGGGAAGAGCACAUUUGCUUCGCACCCAUGAGGCUCUGGGUUCAAUUCCUAGCAACCCCC